GCAUUGAUGGGGUAACGGUAACCUUGCUCAUUCCCAUUGUCAAUGAGUUGAGCAGCCCUGGGUUCGACUCCCAGUCAACGCA